rnacentral:rRNA from 1 species
GACGAACGCUGGCGGCGUGCCUAAUACAUGCAAGUAGAACGCUGAAGAGAGGAGCUUGCUCUUCUUGGAUGAGUUGCGAACGGGUGAGUAACGCGUAGGUAACCUGCCUUGUAGCGGGGGAUAACUAUUGGAAACGAUAGCUAAUACCGCAUAACAAUGGAUGACACAUGUCAUUUAUUUGAAAGGGGCAAUUGCUCCACUACAAGAUGGACCUGCGUUGUAUUAGCUAGUAGGUGAGGUAACGGCUCACCUAGGCGACGAUACAUAGCCGACCUGAGAGGGUGAUCGGCCACACUGGGACUGAGACACGGCCCAGACUCCUACGGGAGGCAGCAGUAGGGAAUCUUCGGCAAUGGGGGCAACCCUGACCGAGCAACGCCGCGUGAGUGAAGAAGGUUUUCGGAUCGUAAAGCUCUGUUGUAAGUCAAGAACGAGUGCGAGAGUGGAAAGUUCACACUGUGACGGUAGCUUACCAGAAAGGGACGGCUAACUACGUG